UACGUAGGGGGGCAAGCGUUGUCCGGAUUUAUUGGGCGUAAAGAGCGUGUAGGCGGUUUGGUAGGUCCGUUGUGAAAACUCGAGGCUCAACCUCGAGACGCCGGUGGAAACCAUCAGACUAGAGUCCGGAAGAGGAGAGUGGAAUUCCUGGUGUGACGGUGAAAUGCGCAGAUAUCAGGAAGAACACCCGUGGCUAAGGCGGCUCUCUAGUACGGUACUGACGCUGAGACGCGAAAGCGUGGGGAGCGAACAGGG
rnacentral:rRNA from 1 species